rnacentral:rRNA from 1 species
AUUGAACGCUGGCGGCAGGCUUAACACAUGCAAGUCGAGCGGAUGAAGGGAGCUUGCUCCUGGAUUCAGCGGCGGACGGGUGAGUAAUGCCUAGGAAUCUGCCUGGUAGUGGGGGAUAACGUCCGGAAACGGGCGCUAAUACCGCAUACGUCCUGAGGGAGAAAGUGGGGGAUCUUCGGACCUCACGCUAUCAGAUGAGCCUAGGUCGGAUUAGCUAGUUGGUGGGGUAAAGGCCUACCAAGGCGACGAUCCGUAACUGGUCUGAGAGGAUGAUCAGUCACACUGGAACUGAGACACGGUCCAGACUCCUACGGGAGGCAGCAGUGGGGAAUAUUGGACAAUGGGCGAAAGCCUGAUCCAGCCAUGCCGCGUGUGUGAAGGAGGUCUUCGGAUUGUAAAGCACUUUAAGUUGGGAGGAAGGGCAGUAAGUUAAUACCUUGCUGUUUUGACGUUACCAACAGAAUAAGCACCGGCUAACUUCGUG